CGUCUAUAUACGUAUAGCAUAUCAAUAAGCGGAGGAAAAGAAACUAACAAGGAUUCCCUUAGUAACGGCGAGUGAAGCGGGAAGAGCUCAAAUUUGAAAUCUUCAAGGUUCUACCUUGACGAAUUGUAGUUUAAAGAAGUGUUUUCUGUUAGAGGAGUAGGCAAAAGUUCCUUGGAAUAGGGACAUCAUAGAGGGUGAGAAUCCCGUAUUUGGUUAUUCUUUCUAGCUGUGUGAUACACUUUCAAAGAGUCGGAUUGUUUGGGAAUGCAGUCCAAAAUGGGUGGUAAAUUUCAUCUAAAGCUAAAUAUUGGCGAGAGACCGAUAGCGAACAAGUACCGUGAGGGAAAGAUGAAAAGAACUUUGAAAAGAGAGUUAAACAGUACGUGAAAUUGUCAAAAGGGAAGCGUUUGACACCAGUGUUGUUUUUCCGAAAAUCAAUUAAGAGUGGCUUGAUUUUGUGUUGUAUUGACCUUAUCAGCUUUCUUCACUCUUUUUCGAGUCUUUCUUAAUGCACUUUUCGGUUAACAAGUCAACAUCAAUUUCUUUUGUUGUAAAAGGGUAUUUGGAAGGUGGCUUUCUUUUCGGAGAAAGUGUUUAUAGCCUUAUACCUCUACAAUCGGAGAGAUUGAGGUCUGCAGCGUAGAUCCUUCGGGGCUAGAUACACUUGUGCUAAGUUAUAGCUUUUCAUAGACAACUUGUUGACUAUGUUUAGUCAUGUAGCUUACCCGCUUGUGCUAUUUUACCUACGCUUAGGAUGUUGAGUCAUCACACAUCUCU
rnacentral:rRNA from 1 species